CCUACGGGAGGCAGCAGUGAGGAAUAUUGGUCAAUGGUCGGGAGACUGAACCAGCCAAGCCGCGUGAGGGAUGAAGGUACAGAGUAUCGUAAACCUCUUUUGUCAGGGAACAAAGGCGGGGACGUGUCCCCGGAUGAGUGUACCUGAAGAAAAAGCAUCGGCUAACUCCGUGCCAGCAGCCGCGGUAAUACGGGGGAUGCGAGCGUUAUCCGGAUUUAGUGGGUUUAAGGGGUGCGCAGGCUGUCUGUUAAGUCAGCGGUCAAAGCCUGGGGCUCAACCCGGGCCGGCCGUUGAAACUGGCAGUCUCGAGUUGGAGAGAAGUAUGCGGAAUGCGCGGUGUAGCGGUGAAAUGCAUAGAUAUCGCGCAGAACUCCGAUUGCGAAGGCAGCAUGCCGGCUCCACACUGACGCUGAGGCACGAAAGCGUGGGUAUCGAACAGGAUUAGAUACCCCUGUAGUC
rnacentral:rRNA from 1 species